rnacentral:rRNA from 1 species
AACGAACGCUGGCGGCAGGCCUAACACAUGCAAGUCGAGCGAGGACUUCGGUCCUAGCGGCGGACGGGUGAGUAACGCGUGGGAACGUGCCCUUUGCUUCGGAAUAGCCCUGGGAAACUGGGAGUAAUACCGGAUGAGCCCUUUGGGGGAAAGAUUUAUCGGCGAAGGAUCGGCCCGCGUUGGAUUAGGUAGUUGGUGGGGUAAUGGCCUACCAAGCCGACGAUCCAUAGCUGGUUUGAGAGGAUGAUCAGCCACACUGGGACUGAGACACGGCCCAGACUCCUACGGGAGGCAGCAGUGGGGAAUCUUAGACAAUGGGGGAAACCCUGAUCGAGCCACGCCGCGUGAGCGAUGAAGGCCUUAGGGUUGUAAAGCUCUUUCAGCUGGGAAGAUAAUGACGGUACCAGCAGAAGAAGCCCCGGCUAACUCCGUG